CCUACGGGAGGCAGCAGUGGGGGAUAUUGCACAAUGGGGGGAACCCUGAUGCAGCGACGCCGCGUGGGUGAAGAAGCGCCUCGGCGCGUAAAGCCCUGUCAGCAGGGAAGAAAAUGACGGUACCUGAAGAAGAAGCCCCGGCUAACUACGUGCCAGCAGCCGCGGUAAUACGUAGGGGGCAAGCGUUAUCCGGAUUUACUGGGUGUAAAGGGGGCGCAGACGGCGAUGCAAGCCAGGAGUGAAAGCCCGGGGCCCAACCACGGGACUGCUCGUGGAACUGCGUGGCUGGAGUGCAGGAGGGGCAGGCGGAAUUCCUGGUGUAGCGGUGAAAUGCGUAGAUAUCAGGAGGAACACCGGUGGCGAAGGCGGCCUGCUGGACUGCAACUGACGUUGAGGCCCGAAAGCGUGGGGAGCGAACAGGAUUAGAUACCCCGGUAGUC
rnacentral:rRNA from 1 species